rnacentral:SRP_RNA from 1 species
GGCCGGGUCCGUUGGACGGGCGGCCUGUGAACCUGGUCAGGGCUUGACCGCAGCAGCCAUAAGCAGCGUCGUCCGAGCCUGCGGGUGCCUGGCCGUC